GGGCGUAAAGAGCUCGUAGGCGGUUGGUCGCGUCUGCUGUGAAAACCCGAGGCUCAACCUCGGGCCUGCAGUGGGUACGGGCCAACUAGAGUGCGGUAGGGGAGAUCGGAAUUCCUGGUGUAGCGGUGGAAUGCGCAGAUAUCAGGAGGAACACCAAUGGCGAAGGCAGAUCUCUGGGCCGUAACUGACGCUGAGGAGCGAAAGCGUGGGGAGCGAACAGGAUUAGAUACCCUGGUAGUCCACGCCGUAAACGGUGGGAACUAGUUGUAGGGGCCAUUCCACGGCUUCUGUGACGAAGCUAACGCAUUAAGUUCCCCGCCUGGGGAGUACGGCCGCAAGGCUAAAACUCAAAGGAAUUGACGGGGGCCCGCACAAGCGGCGGAGCAUGCGGAUUAAUUCGAUGCAACGCGAAGAACCUUACCAAGGCUUGACAUAUAGAGGAAACGUGCAGAGAUGUACGCCCCGCAAGGUCUCUAUACAGGUGGUGCAUGGUUGUCGUCAGCUCGUGUCGUGAGAUGUUGGGUUAAGUCCCGCAACGAGCGCAACCCUCGUCCUAUGUUGCCAGCACGUAAUGGUGGGAACUCAUGGGAGACUGCCGGGGUCAACUCGGAGGAAGGUAAU
rnacentral:rRNA from 1 species